GCCGAACCUCGUCGCCACGACCCGACCAAAAUAUCACGGCGAAUGCCGAGAAGGACUACAUUGGUAAUGUGGUUGUCGCGGGUUCGAAUCCCGCCUGUAUCGGCA
rnacentral:tRNA from 1 species